rnacentral:rRNA from 1 species
AGCAGCCGCGGUAAUUCCAGCUCCAAUAGCGUAUAUUAAAGUUGUUGCAGUUAAAAAGCUCGUAGUUGAAUUUCGGGACCAAUAUGUCGGUCGUGCUUCGGUACGUACUUGCAUUAUUGGUUUCUCCCUUCUGAGGAACCAUGAUGUCAUUAAUUUGGUGUCGUGGGAAAUCAGGACUGUUACUUUGAAAAAAUUAGAGUGUUUAAAGCAGGCUCGCGCUUGAAUACAUUAGCAUGGAAUAAUGAAAUAGGACGUUUGAUUCUAUUUUGUUGGUUUCUAGGAUCGACGUAAUGAUUAAUAGGGAUAGUUGGGGGCAUUAGUAUUCAAUUGUCAGAGGUGAAAUUCUUGGAUUUAUUGAAGACUAACUACUGCGAAAGCAUUUGCCAAGGAUGUUUUCAUUAAUCAAGAACGAAAGUUAGGGGAUCGAAGACGAUCAGAUACCGUCGUAGUCUUAACCAUAAACCUAUGCCGACUAGGGAUCGGAUGAUGUUAUUUUGAUGA